AUCCGAAUGACCAGUCCCAAAAAGGACGAAAUACACAUCCUGGAU
rnacentral:hammerhead_ribozyme from 1 species